GUGUCUGCCCUCCCUGCGUCAGGACGCGGCCCUGCCCAGACCGCCCCGCCGGGCCACCAUCUCACUGCCCCGACCUCUGUCUUCUACAGAACACCUUAGGCUGGUGGGGCUGCGGCAAGAAGCGGGUCUGUUUCUUUACUUCCUCCACGGAGUCGGCACACUAUGGCUGCCCUCUGGGCUCCCAGAACCCACAACAUGAAAGAAAUGGUGCUACCCAGCUCAAGCCUGGGCCUUUGAAUCCGGACACAAAACCCUCUAGCUUGGAAAUGAAUAUGCUGCACUUUACAACCACUGCACUACCUGACUCAGGAAUCGGCUCUGGAAGGUGAAGCUAGAGGAACCAGACCUCAUCAGCCCAACAUCAAAGACACCAUCGGAACAGCAGCGCCCGCAGCACCCACCCCGCACCGGCGACUCCAUCUUCAUGGCCACCCCCUGCGGCGGACGGUUGACCACCAGCCACCACAUCAUCCCAGAGCUGAGCUCCUC
rnacentral:lncRNA from 1 species